UACGUAGGGUGCAAGCGUUGUCCGGAAUUAUUGGGCGUAAAGAGCUCGUAGGCGGUUCGUCGCGUCGGCUGUGAAAACCCGGGGCUCAACCCCGGGCCUGCAGUCGAUACGGGCGGACUAGAGGUAGGUAGGGGAGAUCGGAAUUCCUGGUGUAGCGGUGAAAUGCGCAGAUAUCAGGAGGAACACCGGUGGCGAAGGCGGAUCUCUGGGCCUUACCUGACGCUCAGGUGCGAAAGCUAGGGGAGCGAACAGG
rnacentral:rRNA from 1 species